rnacentral:rRNA from 1 species
UACGGAGGAUGCGAGCGUUAUCCGGAUUUAUUGGGUUUAAAGGGUGCGUAGGCGGUUUAUUAAGUUAGUGGUUAAAUAUUUGAGCUAAACUCAAUUGUGCCAUUAAUACUGGUAAACUGGAGUACAGACGAGGUAGGCGGAAUAAGUUAAGUAGCGGUGAAAUGCAUAGAUAUAACUUAGAACUCCGAUAGCGAAGGCAGCUUACCAGACUGUAACUGACGCUGAUGCACGAGAGCGUGGGUAGCGAACAGGAUUAGAUACCCUGGUAGUCCACGCCGUAAACGAUGCUCACUGGUUCUGUGCGAUAUAUUGUACGGGAUUAAGCGAAAGUAUUAAGUGAGCCACCUGGGGAGUACGUCGGCAACGAUGAAACUCAAAGGAAUUGACGGGGGCCCGCACAAGCGGAGGAACAUGUGGUUUAAUUCGAUGAUACGCGAGGAACCUUACCCGGGCUUGAAAGUUACUGACGAUUCUGGAAACAGGAUUUCCCUUCGGGGCAGGAAACUAGGUGCUGCAUGGUUGUCGUCAGCUCGUGCCGUGAGGUGUCGGGUUAAGUCCCAUAACGAGCGCAACCCUUACCGUUAGUUGCUAGCAUGUAAUGAUGAGCACUCUAACGGGACUGCCACCGUAAGGUGAGAGGAAGGCGGGGAUGACGUCAAAUCAGCACGGCCCUUACACCCAGGGCUACACACGUGUUACAAUGGCCGGUACAGAGGGCCGCUACCAGGUGACUGGAUGCCAAUCUCAAAAGCCGGUCGUAGUUCGGAUUGGAGUCUGUAACCCGACUCCAUGAAGUUGGAUUCGCUAGUAAUCGCGCAUCAGCCAUGGCGCGGUGAAUAC